rnacentral:tRNA from 1 species
GCCGGGGUGGCGAAAGAGGCAGACGCAGAGGACUUAAAAUCCUCUGGGCUAAAAGGCCCGUGCGGGUUCGACUCCCGCCCCCGGCA